GGAUAAUAAAAAAUAAAAAAAGGAAGUGAGUGAAAUUAGAAACCCAAGAUGGUAUUUGAUAAAAUUUGAGAUUAAUAAUGCUUAAGUGUAUAUAACUUAAACAAUCGAGGUGAGUGAAAUUCACCUUACGAGGAGGUUGAAACAAAGACACUCGAACAAAGGUAAGGCACAGAGGGGAUUAGGUAAGUCUACAGAGAACAUGAAUGAAAUUCAUUAAAAUAAAUAAGGGGCAUCCAAGCUAUGCAAUGCCACACUAAUAAAAUUUGCUUGUAACUUCCUAUAAAAAUCUGAAUAA
rnacentral:lncRNA from 1 species